rnacentral:lncRNA from 1 species
AGAGGGUACACUUCACUAGAAGUAUUCUGAGGCAGAACCUCCCGGGACUGCAGCCUCCAAAGUUCUCCAGAGCCAAGAGCAAGGCGACGAGUAGGCCAGAGGGGGCCAGAGGAUAAUCCGGAAGGGCUGAUUCGGACGCUUAAUAAAUGCCUGUACGUGCCAACUGUGGAGCCAGGCACUGGGAUCCACUGAAGGGCAGUGAGAUGGAUGGACCUUGCAGUCACAAAGCCCAGAGCGGGACAGGCUAUCACAGUCUGGAAGAACCUGGAGGUGGAGAAUCCAUUUGGGAGUCAUAUGUGUUGACUUCAGGCAAACCAGUUAAGGUCCCCACGUGUCUAUAUCUUGUCUGUAAGUAAUAAUAGGAGCAUGUACCUCCCAGGGUCUAUUCUGAGAUGGCUGGCUUUGCACUCUCUGAAACCCAUAGUGAUCUGAACGCAUUUCUAAUGAAUUCUCUUAAAUGCCCUUGUAGAGGCAGCAUCUCUGGGUGUGGAGCUGCUUUCUAGACCCCCAGCUGCC